UGAGAAUUGAAUCUGAUUUUUUAAUAGGCCCAAAUGGCCCAAAAGAGAUUUGAUUUGGGCUGGAUCCAAAAAUAAUGACCCAAUAUAGAUUUGUUAUUAAUAUUACUUAAUUGCCCUUAAUGAAACAUGCAAUGUUAGUGAAGAAAAUAUGCCCCUAAGGUAAUUAUUACAAUAGGAUCCUGCUUUAAUAGUAUAGAUGUCUAGAUUAUUUAACUAUGUGUGUAUUAGUGUAUUUACCUUUUUAAUGAAAUAUUUUGAUCAUUUUGAUUCUUAGGAGCUAUAUUUGUGACAAAACAUUUUAGGGGUAUCUAAGGGUAUUUCUCCAUUUUUUAUUUAUUAAUAUAAUUUUUGUAUCUAGAAAUUUAUAAUCUAAACAUAUAUUGUAUUUUUUAUAUUUUGAUUAUUGUAUAUAACUAUUUAUUUGAUAUUAAUCUCUAACAAAUUAGCUUCCACGUUAAUUUUUUGCACAUUUUCUCUCUGUGGUGUAAAAUUUUAUUGUCUUUUUUAAUUAUUUUUUAGAGUUUUUGUUUUCAGUUUGUGAUCUACAAUACUCUAAUUAUUCUCCUUGUGUUUCAUAUAAGUAUUUUGUAUUUUAAAAUUUGUUUCAAUAUGAAUAUCAAUUUUACAUUUUAUAUAUUAAAAAUAAAUUCAAUCCUUAUCUUUACCUUAUUUAUUGAUCCAAAUAAUGUGGAAUUCUAAUAAAAAUAAUAUAGAAAACUUAAUUAUUUUCUUAAUAUGUGUAUUUGAUAUCCGACUUAUAAUCAGACUUAUGUAUUUGAUUCUUAUUUUUAUUUUUUAUUCUAUCCUUUUUACUAAAUGAUAUACGAUAAUUUUUGUGUAGAUCACUUUUAUAUUUAUACUUUAUCAUUUAUUUAUUUUAAAAAUUAGUUUUUUUUUUUUUUUGUUCAAAUUUUAAAAAUUAGUUUAAGUUCAAGGAUAGAAGUCCAUUUCAUUUAUUUUCUUAAGCUUUUCUCGUUUACCAAAUUUAAAAUUCAACAUUGUAGUAAAUUAAAUAAUUAGCCUUUGUUAAAAAAAUAUUUUAUAAAAUGAUUGCAGUAAAUAUUCUCCAUCGCCAAUAUUAGUAUUGGUUUUUGAAAAAUAUUUUACGUAGAAUAUAUAAUAUGAUAUUUUCAAUCAAAUUCUUCACAUAAAUGUUUGUGCAUUUUUAUUUGUUGAUGUAGUUGCUCUUUCAUUUUGAUGAACUUGGCUACCAAUUUUGAGAAUGAGACCGGCCAUAUGCAUCAGAAUUAGACCAGAGUUAGUAUGACCGACUCUUCUUAGCAGUUAGAACCAGAGAUAGUAUGACCAAUUCUUCUUGAGUUUCAAAGGAAAUUAUUCUUGAGGAAGUCUCAGCUCAGUUUGAGCUUACCAACUCAUCAAAUAAUCUCAACAUCGAUUUGAUUGUUUGUGGCUUCUUCACUCCUCGAUAGAAUUGUAGAUUGUGGAUGUGUGGUCUUCUGUAUGUUUGAAUGUUACUUAUGAUUCCCAAUAGUGUCAUGUUAUAUGGUUUUCAAUAUCACCAGUUUAGUAAUAAAUUGUAAUAAUCCGAUUUACUAAAGCCGGUUUGGUUUGUCUAAUUAAUUAUUUUUAUCAAAUCAAAACUCAGUUCCUUUAUUCACUUUAGCAUAAUCCGUGUAUAAAAUAUAUGGGUAUAUCUAUCUCCUUCUACCCAAAUCCAAGCCGCCAUCUUCUUUAUGUGAAAAGACGUUGCAUUCGUCUCCAAUCGUUACCACCACUGCCUCUUGCAAACUAAUCACCACCGGAUUCAUCGUAUUUGUUGUCCAUAGAGUAAUAGAGUCAUUUUUACUCUUGUUGUUGUUAUGUGACAGAACCGAGAUGUGGAGGAGAAAGUGACGUCGGAGCUACCGCUCUUCAUCAUCACUCAUAGCUGGAAUCUUCACAAUCCAUCGAAGAUCCCCACCAUUACUAUAUGAGCCGUACCAAGCCAACAACGUUAAGAUCCGAGCAAAUGAGAUCCCCAUCCACUCUUGCUUGCAUACCAAGCAUUUCUUCUCCACUUUCAAUCGAUCCACCAGAUACAUAUGGAACGAAGAUGAUGAAUCAAAUGAAUUUGAGAGAGACUAAUUGAAUUCAGAGAAUAGAUAGUUGCAGGGCAGUCUCGAAUUAAUUUUAGGCCCUGUUCAAAAAAAUAUAUUAAUCGUAUAUUUUAUCACGUAAUUUUAAAAUUUAAUAAAUUUGUUUGAUUUUUUUUUAAUUAUAAGUUCUAAAUUUAGCAUUAUAUCUAAAAUUUUAAAGUUUUUUACCAUAAUUUGUCUAUAUAUUUUGAAAAAUUCUUAAAUUUUUUAUUUUUAUAUUUCAGGGCCCUGUUCGACCGCUCCACUUGUGCGUGCUGUUAGACGGUUCUGGAUAGUUGACGUGUAGAAUUUGGAAUGAUGUGUAAACAAUGAAAUGUUUUGAUUGGUAGUAUAAUUUUUUUUAAUUAUUGACAUGACAACUCCACGAUAAUUAUGUUGGAGAGAAUUUUAUGAUAUUAUUGUGUUGAUUAUGAAGAGACUAAGAGUUUGAAGAAAGAGAAAAAUAAGAUGUUUCAUCGAUCAAGUGUUGUUCUUCGGCCCCACCAUAAAAUCCUAGAUAUUGAUGGUGUUAUGUGCCACUCAGUUUAUCAUUGUUUACUAAUUUCAUCUUAACCAGAACAUGCCAAAUGUAGCUAUAUAUACACUAACUUACAAAACUUGAUGAUAACUUUUUUAGAUUGCUACUUCUUGAAUUUAUAUUAUUUAUUUUGUAUGAUUUAUUUUGUAAAUUAAAUAUAUGGAUGAAAAUUUACUUGAAUUUAAAAAUAUUUAAACACAUAAACUUUAAAAUAAAAACAGUUUAAAAAUAUUUUUGAUUUUGAUUUUUCUUUUUUGAAAAAAUUCACAAAAAAUUGAAAAUGUUUGGAAAAUUAGUUUAUAAAAAGUUCAAAUUCAGAAACAUAUAAUUAGAAAACUACAAAAAAAAUAUUUUUACUUAACGAUAAAACAAUAAAAUAUAAUUAUACGUUCAAAAAGGUAACUAUAUGAAAUGUAAUGAAUUAUAGUUUUGGACAUAUGAUUUGGGUUGAAACUUGAAAGUGCAAAAGAUAUUUGGCAAUAAUGAUUAUUUUGUUUUCUAAAAUUUUCUAUCACAUAGAUUUUAAAAAUCUAAUGGAUACACGUUUUUUUUAAAUUAUGUCUUAUAAGUAAAAAUAGAGAUAAUUCAUCUUUCAAUAACACUAUAUUUAGUUAGAACUCGACAAUCAAUAGUAACUAAACUUUUUGAAUAA